rnacentral:rRNA from 1 species
UACGAAGGGGACUAGCGUUGUUCGGAAUUACUGGGCGUAAAGCGCACGUAGGCGGAUUUGUUAGUCAGGGGUGAAAUCCCGGGGCUCAACCUCGGAACUGCCUUUGAUACUGCAAGUCUCGAGUCCGAUAGAGGUGGGUGGAAUUCCUAGUGUAGAGGUGAAAUUCGUAGAUAUUAGGAAGAACACCGGUGGCGAAGGCGGCCCACUGGAUCGGUACUGACGCUGAGGUGCGGAAGCGUGGGGAGCAAACAGG